GGGACUGUAGCUCAGUUAUAGAGCAUCUGCUUUGCAUGCAGAAGGUGCCAAGUUCAAUCUCUGGCACCCUGGGCAGGCCCA